ACUUGCAUAAAGUCAGAAAACCUUGACUAUCCUUGAUCAACUGGCUAGCCAACUAGAGGCUUGCUAGGGACAUUGUUUUUUCUAUGUAUCCACACAUGUAUAUAUAUUUUCAUUCAAUACAAUUAUAGCAUGGAUAAUAAACGAUUAUCUUGAAACGGGAAAUAUAAUAAUAACUAUUUAUCAUUGCCUCUAGGGCAUAUUUCCAACACAAUCUUCCAAGAGA
rnacentral:lncRNA from 1 species